rnacentral:lncRNA from 1 species
UGUAAUAUUACACAACCUAAAAUCGAUUUCUAUUGAGGUAAAUUUAUAGUUUAAACACAAAAUUCUAUUUACAUGCUCCUAACCAAUCACUUGUAUUGCUACAAGCUUGAAAAAAAAGAAAAACAAAAACAAAAAAGACAAAUUAAGGAAAACAACUAACAAAAACAUAAAAAAUUUGAAAAAUUUCUAUGUUACCCCCACA